AAUAUUUCGCAAUGGAGGGAACUCUGACGCAGCGACGCCGCGUGAGCGCUGUAGGNCUNNGGAUCNUNAAGCUCUGUCCUUGGNNNNNAAGGUCUUCGGCAUUGACGGUCCCCACGGAGGAAGACCAGGCUAACUACGUGCCAGCAGCCGCGGUAAUACGCAGGGGGAAAGCGUUGUCCGGAAUUAUUGGGCGUAAAGUGUGCGUAAGCGGGCUUUUAAGUCAGAUGUGAAAGCCCACGGCUUAACCGUGGGACUGCAUUUGAAACUGGAGGGCUUGAGUAUCGGAGAGGGUAGUGGAAUUCCCAGUGUAGCGGUGGAAUGCGUAGAUAUUGGGAGGAACACCAGUGGCGAAGGCGACUACCUGGACGAAAACUGACGCUGAGGCACGAAAGCUAGGGGAGCAAAC
rnacentral:rRNA from 1 species